rnacentral:rRNA from 1 species
GUAACUUCGGGAGAAGGCACGCUGGUGUGUAGGUGAAGCCCCUGCGGGUGGAGCUGAGACCAGUCGAAGAUACCAGCUGGCUGCAACUGUUUAUUAAAAACACAGCACUGUGCAAACACGAAAGUGGACGUAUACGGUGUGACGCCUGCCCGGUGCCGGAAGGUUAAUUGAUGGGGUUAUCCGUAAGGAGAAGCUCUUGAUCGAAGCCCCGGUAAACGGCGGCCGUAACUAUAACGGUCCUAAGGUAGCGAAAUUCCUUGUCGGGUAAGUUCCGACCUGCACGAAUGGCGUAAUGAUGGCCAGGCUGUCUCCACCCGAGACUCAGUGAAAUUGAACUCGCUGUGAAGAUGCAGUGUACCCGCGGCAAGACGGAAAGACCCCGUGAACCUUUACUAUAGCUUGACACUGAACAUUGAGCCUUGAUGUGUAGGAUAGGUGGGAGGCUUUGAAGCGUGGACGCCAGUCUGCGUGGAGCCAACCUUGAAAUACCACCCUUUAAUGUUUGAUGUUCUAACGUUGGCCCCUUACCGGGGUUGCGGACAGUGUCUGGUGGGUAGUUUGACUGGGGCGGUCUCCUCCCAAAGCGUAACGGAGGAGCACGAAGGUUAGCUAAUCCUGGUCGGACAUCAGGAGGUUAGUGCAAUGGCAUAAGCUAGCUUGACUGCGAGCGUGACGGCGCGAGCAGGUGCGAAAGCAGGUCAUAGUGAUCCGGUGGUUCUGAAUGGAAGGGCCAUCGCUCAACGGAUAAAAGGUACUCCGGGGAUAACAGGCUGAUACCGCCCAAGAGUUCAUAUCGACGGCGGUGUUUGGCACCUCGAUGUCGGCUCAUCACAUCCUGGGGCUGAAGUAGGUCCCAAGGGUAUGGCUGUUCGCCAUUUAAAGUGGUACGCGAGCUGGGUUUAGAACGUCGUGAGACAGUUCGGUCCCUAUCUGCCGUGGGCGCUGGAGAAUUGAGGGGGGCUGCUCCUAGUACGAGAGGACCGGAGUGGACGCAUCACUGGUGUUCGGGUUGUCAUGCCAAUGGCACUGCCCGGUAGCUAAAUGCGGAAGAGAUAAGUGCUGAAAGCAUCUAAGCACGAAACUUGCCCCGAGAUGAGUUCUCCCUGAGACUAUAAGUCUCCUGAAGGAACGUUAAAGACGAUGACGUUGAUAGGCCGGGUGUGUAAGCGCAGCGAUGCGUUGAGCUAACCGGUACUAAUGAACCGUGAGGCUUAACCUUACAACGCCGAAG